UACGGAGGGUGCAGGCGUUGUCCGGAUUUAUUGGGUUUAAAGGGUGCGUAGGCGGCUCUUUAAGUCAGUGGUGAAAUCCUACAGCUUAACUGUAGAACAGCCAUUGAUACUGAAGAGCUUGAGUACAGACGAGGUAGGCGGAAUUUAUGGUGUAGCGGUGAAAUGCAUAGAUACCAUAAAGAACUCCUAUUGCGAAGGCAGCUUACUAGGCUGUAACUGACGCUGAGGCACGAAAGCGUGGGGAUCAAACAGG
rnacentral:rRNA from 1 species